rnacentral:rRNA from 1 species
AACUUUUAGCUUCUUUGGCCUGUCCCGGUCUCUUGUAGAACGUUGUGACGAAUCUUAGAACCUUCCUGGUAGAAAGUGUUUCUGCCCUUUAUUGGGUUGGUUGCAUGAUCUGCCUCUUUUACUGUGAGAAAAACAAAGUGCUCAAAGCAGGCUUUACAGCUUGAAUGCGUUAGCAUGGAAUAAUAAGAUAGGACUUUGUUUCUAUUUUGUUGGCUCUGAGGAACAAAGUAAUGAUUGAUAGGGAUAGUUGGGGGUGCUCGUAUUUAACGGUCAGCGGUGAAAUGCAUGGACCCGUUAAAGACGAACCUAUGCGAAAGCAUU